rnacentral:rRNA from 1 species
GACGAACGCUGGCGGCGUGCUUAACACAUGCAAGUCGAACGGAAAGGCCCUGCUUUUGUGGGGUGCUCGAGUGGCGAACGGGUGAGUAACACGUAAGUAACCUGCCCUUGACUUUGGGAUAACUUCAGGAAACUGGGGCUAAUACCGGAUAGGAGCUCCUGCUGCAUGGUGGGGGUUGGAAAGUUUCGGCGGUUGGGGAUGGACUCGCGGCUUAUCAGCUUGUUGGUGGGGUAGUGGCUUACCAAGGCUUUGACGGGUAGCCGGCCUGAGAGGGUGACCGGCCACAAUGGGACUGAGAUACGGCCCAGACUCCUACGGGAGGCAGCAGUGGGGAAUAUUGCACAAUGGGCCGAAGCCUGAGGCAGCAACGCCGCGUGCGUGAUGACGGCCUUCGGGUUGUAAACCGCUUUCGCCUGUGACGAAGCGUGAGUGACGGUAAUGAGUAAAGAAGCACCGGCUAACUACGUG